GCCUACGGGGCGCAGCAGUGGGGAAUAUUGCGCAAUGGGCGAAAGCCUGACGCAGCGACGCCGCGUGAGGGAUGGAGGUCUUCGGAUCGUAAACCUCUUUCAGCAGGGAAGAACGGUCACUGUGCUAAUCAGCAGUGAAUUGACGGUACCUGCAAAGGAAGCACCGGCUAACUCCGUGCCAGCAGCCGCGGUAAUACGGAGGGCGCGAGCGUUAAUCGGAAUUACUGGGCGUAAAGCGCUCGUAGGCGGUAUGUCAAGUCAAGGGUGAAAUCCCCGCGCUCAACGUGGGAACUGCCUUUGAAACU
rnacentral:rRNA from 1 species